AGGAGCUGUGGGGGACAACGCGGGGGAGUGGGGGAAGCUGUGACAAUGGCCGUGGGAGCCGGAGCCCGAGGCUGACGGGGCCAGGCUGGAACUCCAGCUGAGCGAGGCGGGCUGAGGUCGCUGAUGCGCUGCCUUCCCAAAGCUGAGCUCUCGCUCUCCCCGGUUGGCGCCAGACCACCGACCCCACAGCUGAAGACCGACUCCGGGGAAAUCGAAGCCCUAGGGACGCGCGCAAGGCUGGCGGACACCGGCUGGCGGGUCGUCGGGAGCGCGCACGUCUGGACGCCGCCGCGGACAAUGCUGCUGCUGCUGCAACUGCUGUCGCUACUGCGGGAGCUCACGGCAGAGAGUCCCUGGGGGCUGCCUGUGGUAGCUGAUGGCCCAGCUUCCUUAGCAAAGGUGGUGAUGGCAGAACUGGCUGACCUGAAGUUAGAAAACAAGCCAUGGCCUGGAGGGACACACUCUCUCCACUACCACUACCUGGCCCUAUCAGAGCCAGGCCCGGGCCUUCCUCAGUUUCUGGCUGUAGGCUACGUGGACGACCAGCCUUUCAUCCAUUAUGACAGUCGUGUGGACAGAGCCAAGCCCCAGGCCCCGUGGAUGGCAGCUGUGGACACCCAGUACUGGGAAACAGAGACCCAGAAGCAGAGAGCCUGGGCAAAGGUGCAGCAGGUGGAGACAUGGACUGUGAUGGGCUACCACAACCAGAGCAGUGGCACACACAGCACUCAGCGAACGUUCGGCUGUGAGAUCCGGGAAGACGGCCGUACCAGCAGCUUCUGGCAGUUUGGCUUUGAUGGCCAGGACCACCUGUCACUGGACCUGGAGACUCUGAGCUGGGUGUCAGCCAAGCCGGUGGCUGUGCAGACCAAGCAUUGGUGGGAAACAGAGCGCUGCUAUGCCGAAUACGACAAGGCCUACCUGGAGGGCCUCUGCCUCACUUCCCUGCACAGGUACCUGGAGCUGGGCAGCCAGAGCCUCACCCGGAAAGAGCCGCCCAAAGUGCAGGUGACAAGACACACAGCUGAGGAUGGGAGCAUCACACUGAGAUGCUGGGCCCGGGGCUUCUACCCACGGGACAUCUCAUUGAGCUGGUGGCUGGGGGAGGAGGAGCUGUUUCAAGAGAUCGAGUAUGUGGAGACACGCCCCGGUGGAGACGGUACCUACCAGACAUGGGCGGCCGUGCGGGUGCCAGCCAGGAUGGAGAAUGGGUACAUUUGCCAUGUGCAGCACUCCAGCUUGAACCAUACACUCACUGUGGCCUGGGAAGCACCCUCUCAUCAGUGGAUAACCAGUGCCAAGGUUAUCUCCAUCAUCUUCAUCACUUUCUUGCUGAUGGCUGGAGUUUUGAUUUUCAUCAAGCAGUACUCUCAAGCCAGGAAUAAGGAAUCUUGCAAACAAGCCCCAGGUGGAGAGGAGCCUCAUAAUUCCCAAAACCCAAUGAGCGUGGAGGCUGCUCAGCUGCUCUGCUGACACAAGUUCACUGUCACAGAUCAAGGAGGUGUUUUAUAGAGGGUUUGGGAGCAUCCAGUGUGCUAGCUGGCUGGCAGUGGUGAUCCAACUGUGAAGGGUCCACCCUACCUCAAAACUGAGCCCUCCUCAGCUCCAUCAGCCUCAUCACAAGCAGUCUGGGCCACUAAGAUAGAUUUGCCAUCUUCCUGAAGUCCUUUUAAAAGUCUAAUUGUCUCUAGUUUGGGGGCGUGGGAAGGAGGGCAGUAAUAAUUCCUCAGAUCGGUUCACACUUGACAAUUUGCACGAUAAUUUCACGUAAAGUGUAAAUCCCACCUGAGCCUCUCAGGUACUCUGUGAGUUCGGUGAUGGUAUUCUCACCUCCACUUCCCCAACAUGGAAACCACAGCUAUGGGAAGUUAAGGAAGAACCAGAAGAACAGUCAAGGAGUUAUGGGGGCAGCAUGGCCAAAUGCCUACCUCCUUUUAUAAAUAUGUUCUUGUGUGUAUGUAUAUUUUCUUUUAUAAAGAUUGGAGUGUUGGGGGGUGUGAGGAUAUGUGGUUCCUGCAGGGUGAGGGUGGGUGUGUGAGGACAAGGGGGUCCAUGAUGUGUGUGAGGGUGUGUAGGGAGUGACGGUGUAUGGGGGGGGGGGGUGUAGCAGGAGGUGACUUUGUGUGUAUGAGAAGUUCAAGGGACAGGUUCCCAGGGACCUGUUAGCCCAGGGCAGCUGAAGGAUGGAAAACAAUACAGUCAGUAUUUUCCAUCCUGUCCUCUUGAAUGGUUUGAAUUUUUACAAUAAGUACAUGUUACUUUUACAAUAAGGGGAAGAGAAGUUUCACUAUGUCCUGUGGAAAUGCUUGUUAAGAAUUCUUGUUAAGGAUGUGUCUGGGAAGGUCCAGCCUCUCCUUCUCUGAAUUUCAGUAUAGCAGAAACCCUACGUCUCCUUUGUAAAUAAGAAUCUCCUGGGGAGCACACAUUUUUGUUUAUCCAGAGAGCAGUUCAAGUCUCACGGCCAGCCAGCAGAUGUGCAAAGGGAGAGGACUCCAGAGCCACAGCAGAGGGACCACUCCACUGGCAUAAAGGACACAAGCUUGGGCCCUUCACAGGGCACCCUCUGCCUCUCUGUAGAGCCCCAAGGCAUGACUAAACCUCUUGUGGGGAUUUCUGAAACCUUCAUGUCUGCAGCCCUGGGAGGCCCCAAGCUGAAGGAUGUGAAAGAUUUGUGAUACUAGACAGAUUCAGCCUGCCCUGGUGGCCUAAAGAACCUCAGCAGUGAGCUUGCAACUAUGUGAUUGCACUGAAAAUGUGUCUCUAAUGUCUGUCUGCCUGUCUUAGUGCUGCCAUCAGGAUCCAUGCUGUGCUGGUUCUGAGCACUUUUACAUGUACUAAACUGUGUGAUCCUCAUAACACGCCUGUGUGGGAGAAUUAAUAAUCCUGUGCUACAGGUGAAGACAUUGAAGCCCAAGGUCCUAUGGCUGGUUUGUGCCAGAGCCAGGACAUGAAACCAGGAAGUCUGUGGCUACAGUCUGGGCACUUCACUACUGCACCAAAAACCUCAAUGACAUCUGUGCCAUUCUGUAAAUGGUGAAAAUGUUGAGGCACAAGGUGGGUCUGGCCCACACCAAUGGAAGGCACAAGUGUCUGUGCUGACCUUUGAAGAUGUGCUUAGGAUCUCCAGAGCAAAGGUCAAAACUCCAUCCCUGAGGAGCAUGAGGGCCCAGUGUAUUUGUGGAGAAGCAGAUGGGAGGAGGCUCUGAGUCCUUCCUGUCCAGGAUGUCAGCUCUCUCCAGUGCACAUCUCUCUUUCUCUUCCACCCACACCCCAAGCAUAUAUUGGUUUAAGUCCAGUGCACCUGCAAAACCUGAGCAAAGGAACAUGCACCAGCACCUCAUGGCCAGCAAUGGCUGGUCAGUGAUCUCAACCAAACACAGGGGCUCUGGACCCAGCAGGACCAGCCUAGAUGCCCUGCCUGCCUACCUCCCUGGUUCUUUCCUCAGCCACUCCUGCCUGGAGAGAAGCUCGUGAGAGGACAGAAGGCAAACACAGAGGGAGUUCAUCUGAGCCCCAAGUGUUCCCCUGGGUGCCCCCUGAUUACUACCACAGUCUUAGGAGUAGACAGAGGCAGGAGGGCAAGUGAGGAGGGUUCUAAGCACACUUGGAAGCAGUAAAGGGGCCUACAAAUCUGGCAAGGACAGGAAGACAGCUUUGCAAAAAAUCACAGACCCACAGGAAAAGCAACCUUCUCACCCAGCAGGGCAAUACUUCCACUAGCUGCUCCUGAGAACUGCUUCUCUCUCUCAGCCCAGACUGGCCUGGCCUUGCGUCAGAACCAUGGGAUCUCCAUCCACAGGCCAUCCCCUCACUCACAGAGGCCAAGACAUCUUCCCCACGGGAGGAAUGCUACAUCAGACUCCUCUAGUCUUCAGGCUGCACUGAGAUACGCCUCCACUGACACAGAUCUUACCUGCUAACCCUCUGGACUCUAGUCCCAAACCACGACUUUUUCCAGACCACCAUAUUUAGGGCAGAAUUCAGUGUGGCCUGGAAUUGUGCUUUGUGAUGAUGUGUCGAAUGAAUGAAUGCAUUGAUUAAUAAAUAAUAAAUUAUGAGUAUUCGAUGAA